UGAGAGAUGGUGUUGCUAGCUCAGGUGGC
rnacentral:piRNA from 1 species